CCCGCUCCAGAUUGAAAACUGAGAGAGUGACGGGAGGGAAGAAGGGGAUCGGGGGAGGGGAGAGCAGCAAGCAUGAGCUGCUUGAGAGUGUGGAUGGCAAGGCAAGAAAGGAAAAAGGCUUUUGUGGUGAUCGGGAUCAAUACAGCCUUCAGUGGCAAGAAGUGCCAUGAUUCUGUCAGGGAGACAUUGAUGACUCAAGGGCUAGGUGUCCUUCCUCCUCUUGGUGACAUAUAAGAGGACCUGCAACACUGAACCGGGAAGUCCUUUUUUAGGCAGUGGUCAUGGAGCAACAAUAUAUGUUGCGUGGCAUUGCAGGUUAUUUUCUGCCCUAGUCGAUCCAGGCACGGUGUUAGAUGGGAGAGAGCAGGCGAGGGCCAAGAGGCCAGCGGUGUGGGGUGGAGCAGCGAGGCCAAAGACCGGGCAGCGGACGCCUCACGGGGUGGAGGAGAGGCCGGCGAUAGGGAAAAGUAGCAUCUUCAUGGAUGAGAUCCUGACGGCUGAAGAUGGUGUGCACGGGAGGAGCUUGGAAGAUGUCAAGGGGCGCCGCGAGGAGUGGAGUAAGCUAAAUACCUGAUUGGCUGGAUCAUUUUUGGGCUCUUUACAGAUUUGCCUUACUGUUUAAAAAAAAUCUGUUUUCAUUGCCUGAGAAGAAAAACUUGCACCAUAAUCUGUUACCAUAUACUCAAUUAAAAGCACAACAAUGUUGGAAAAAUGGGAGAUGAGCUAGAAAUUCCCCCCAAAAAAACAAAAUAGCCAUCGCUCCCGUGGAUCCCCCUCUCGCUGGCAGGCUGAAAGUGUCAUAGUUGUACCAAAGCAUCAUCUAGCCAUUAGUUUUUUAUAAUUGUACCUAAACAUCAUCAAUUCAUUAAUUUGUUAGAUUAUUAUAUUGGUCGUGAAGCUCCAAACUCGGGAACUUUAAAGCUUAUGUCUCGAAUUUUCUAUUUUGCUGUCGCAAAGUUAUAGUGCUCUUAUAGUGGUUCCUUGGUUGAUUUGUUCCUUUAGAAUUACCAGUUCCACUUACAAGUCUAGUGUGCCUGUUAUUUGGCAAACAUUUAGGUGACCUGUAGUACUUAUACGAAAUUUAUCAUGUUUUUUGUUACAUUGCCUCUUUAGGUUGUCUACAUAGGUACAUUAUUAAAUUCCAACAUGCAGUAUUCAGUUCCAAAUUUUGCGUGACUGUCUAAAUGCCUCGAGGAUUAGAGGAAAAGAAACAGAUAACUUGUCAGCUUCUUUCCAACAUGCUUAUACAAUUUAUGAUUAAAUGAGGCAGGAUCACACAGCUUAGAAUUCAGCGGUGCUGCCUAAUUGAGGCUUAGAAUUCAGCAGCGAUGCCUGUUUGUUCUCAUCUAGCUAGCUUGCGAAGUUAAGUGAUAUCGUUGGAAUACCAGAGGCUCAACUAAAGUUCAUACCUGAAGCUUGGUCAUAGCCUAAAUAUCUUACGAUGUCCAUAAACUGGUUCUAUAUACUUUUAACGAAGCUUUCCUUUUUUUGACACGCCUACUCUAUCAUCCUUCACUACGACAGAUCAUAGAAUGCAUACAAGUACUACAAUGAUCAUUUGCAUAUGGGUAUUAUCUCGAGGAUAAAGAAGGACCACAAAAUGAUGCAGACGAACAUGCUUGUUGCAGGAGGCUGCAACUGACAUGUUGGACGGGAAUAAACCAAAAAGAUUAAAGAAUCUGGUCAGAGGGACAUUCAGGGAGAAGUUUAGUCGCUGCAUUAAGCUCUUGUGACGACUCAAGGGGGGAACUUCCCUCACUUUUUGAUGGGACACAGGCGUUACCUGUUAGGAGGGAAUGCAAAGACAAUAAAACCCGACAAACGGAACUUGGUCUUAUCUUUUGACGACCCAAAUAUCAGAUGGAGUCGAUUCAAGCACCACAUGUUGGAAAUACUGCACCAUAGUGACAUAAGGGGCAUCGCAUUCAGGAAACCUAAUGAUUCCAUAUACACCUUCCCAAUGCCUGAUUGCAUGUGCCAACAAGAUGGUAUAUGAUCUAGGUGUUAGCAUACAUAACUGAGGGAUGCAUAUCCUCUGCCUUUGUGCAACAAAGGCACCAAAGGCACGACAUUGUUGACUGCAUGAUCAGGAUUUGAUGGUCAUGAU